UCUAGUUGUGUAGCAGUGGGAAGAAAGACCCACAACUCUCCAUUCCACAACUCAGUUCUCCGCCACCAUCUGUUCGUUCAGCAUUUAGCAUACAGAGAAAGAUGUAGCAAUAGCUAAACAUCUUUCAAGAUUUAGCAGUCUCACAUAAACAAGAAUCUCAAACCAAAAGGCUCUUUUCAGAGCCGUUAUUUAAGCAGUUGUGUAGUCUGAGUUUUUUUUUAAAUUUUUUAUUUCAUUUAAUUUGUUCACUCACAUACACAUACAUAAUACGGUACAACAAAAAAAAAAACUUAAUAGUAAAAGAAAUAAGAAUAAUAUUACAUUAAAUAAUAAGUGUAUAGACAUUAAGAGGCCAAAAUAAGUUUAGAAUCAAACUUUAAGCCAUGACCACCAGUUAAAAUUAUAUUAGGCAUACAUCAAUAAAAUAUUAUAAAUACAAUUUAAUAAUAAAUACAUAAUAAAGUUGAAUUAAGGCAGUGUGUCAAUUAUUCAUUAAUUUGACCAAAAUGUCAAGUUUACAAACAAGCACAUAGCAAUUAUAACACUACACACUACAGUAAUUAUUUGUAGAAGUCUAAUGAAGAUAAGCCUAUCCAAUAGUGAUGUUAAAGAGUCGAAACCAGGACAUAACUCCAACUUUAGAUUGACAAUGAUUGAAAAAUGUUAAAUACAGGCACAAUGUAUACAUCCUAUGUAACAGAGUCCAGUUAGAAUAUGUAAUUAUGUAUCAAAUUGAUAUAUUAUGAUUACUGUACUAUUAUUAUUAUUAUUAUCAUAUACAUACAUACAUACAAAUAUAUAUUUGUAUAUUUUCUUAUAAGUCAUAUAAUUCAGCUUGUCAGACGGUCUUUAAGGCACAAUGCUACACCACCUUCGUUAGACCCACUCUUAAAUAUGCCUCUGCCGCUUUGUCUCCUCACACACAAGCCAAUAUCAAUAUACCUGUAUAUAUACAGUAUACACUUUUGUAUUAACAAAAUAACAUUAUUUAAUUCAAGAUUUGAAAAGGAUGACAUUUAUCAAUGAUGUUUUAAUAAUUCCGCAUGAAGGGCGAUGCAAAAAUGGAUCCGUAUUUGAUGGAAUCGAGGCAUUUUGUAUGUUUUUUUUAUCGUUUUGCGUAUCAUGUCGAUAUGCAGACAUGGUUCCAAACUUCGGUCGGUCAUAACAGAGUUGUUUUUGGCAACGUGCAAAAUCUUGGACAUCAUUAUUUACGACAAUUGUAACCAUCUUUUGGAAACUCUCCAACAGCCAUGACUUGCUCCAGGUAAGCUUCAAGAAUUUUGUAAUGUUAUUCAAACUAAGGGCGCAUCGCUCAACAACUGUGGGGGGGGGGGGAUUCAUAGAUGCGACCGUUCGACCCAUUUGUAGACCUGUACAGUCGCAAAGAAUUAUGUAAAAUGGACAUAAAAGAAUUCAUGGUAAUUAAUUUCAGUCUGUUGUCGCUCCGAAUGGAUUAAUCGCAAACCUCGGCUCUUCGAAUUAUAUUUGUAGCUAAAAAUAUUUGAAUUGAGCAUCUCUUUUACUAAAUCAUUGUCCAUUUCUUCAUCCCAUCUAAAUAG